GAAACAGAAAAAGAUUUAUUAGAAAUAUGACACAGAUUUUUGCAUCGUACAUUUUAAUAAUGUUAAUCUUUAAAUAUUAGCAUGUCCAAAUCUGGCAAUGCCUAGUAUAUACAUUCUAAUGUGCUCUUUGUAUAAAUUAGAUUAUGAUGUAACAUCUGUACCCAACAGAGAAAGCGAAAACACUUGUUAGAGGUGAUUAUCCCAGAUGACAAACUCAAGCCUGGACCCACAAUCAAUAAAAACAUUGUGUCCAGCACUGCCCAGUGGAACUUGGCACAUGUGCGAGUCAGAAAUGUAGAGACCAUCAGCUGAGAAACAUGGUAACUGCAGUUCAGUUAUAAGCUUGAUUCUACACCGUAUUGGUGAGUGAGUCUAAAUGGCACUGGAGUUGGUAAAAACCAAUACAGUCUAGCAUAGUAUAAGUUAUUGCUGGGUAUAAAAAUGCUUUAAUGCUCAGUGCCCUGAGUCUUUUCAGGCAAAAGCCCUCUCCUGACAGGAAAAUGCAUAAUCUCAUCCCAUACAGACCCUGCCUUUCCUCAGAUACAUGAGGCACAGCUUUCCACACAGCUGCCCCGUCAGAUGCUUCCUGCUGGAAGACGUGGUACCGAAAGCACAGAAAGAUGAGGGAGAUACAAACCAACCAGUGAGCCAAUGCUCAGACUUCAUUGCCAAGGAAGAGAGAAAGUGCUGCAAAAAGAAAGAUUUGGAAGAGUUCCAGGUCAGGAAUCAAAUGGGGAAGACCAAAUCAUUCUGCCAGCAUGCACCUAUUUGGACAUAAAACUUGUGCUGGUUGCAGAUACAAAACAAGAAAACCGAAGAAAACCUCUAAAAGCAACUUCAGAACAUAAAAAGAAAACCCGCCAAAAGUCAAAGAGAACGUGUCUCACUGAGAGGAAACUGGAGAACGUGCAUAAGUCAAAAAUGACUCUGCUCACCACAGCUGCCUUGCUGCAGCACAGAAGGACUAGGAAAUCUUUGUUCCCUUUGCAUUUCCGUGACUGUCACAGGCACAGGAAGGAGAACCUGGCAAAGGCAGCAAGCUCCGUGCUCUCUUCCCUCCUUGUCUUCCUAGAUCCACCCCAGGCUGCACUCUUAGGAGAAAUGUCACUCAAGAAGACAGUAAGGGCUCUCAAGCUGAUGUCCUUUGCUGUCCACAAAGGCCUAGGUACACGUCCCAUGUAUGCCCCUCUCCUCACACACUGGACUCCCACUCCAUCAUUCAGUUUCCUUGUGUACUUUCAGAAACAGCUCAUCAGCCUUCCUAGAAAACCUUCUCAGAGGGCUGACUCUGGGCUCGCCUCUCAACACCUCUGUACCUUCCCAAGCCAUGAAACAACUUGUACCUUCUAUGACCCACCAGAAGCUCUGGGAGCCAGACUGUAUACUUUCCACACUUCAAUCUCCUUUCCUCUCUAGCAGCUAUGGUACAACAGUCACACAAUACGAUAACCCUCCAUGGAACUUCACUGAAAUCCCCAUCCUAACCAUUCUUCUCACGUGCUCAUCCAAAAUCAGCUAUUUGGUUUCUUGUAGUCCGAAAGACUCCCCAGGUACACACAUACAAGUAUGUGCAGGUAUGUUGAAGAGUGAAUGUAUAUUUAGGGAGCAUAUGGUGACAUGGUGAAGAGAUUUCAUCUGCCUGC
rnacentral:lncRNA from 1 species